rnacentral:lncRNA from 1 species
AAGAAUUAGUGUUAGUUGUUAGUCAAACUCGACAAGACAUCGCAUCUCGUGCCUACGUAUCUCAUCUGAACAUGAGAAUCAGAGUUGCCGUAGUUCGGCUACGGAGGGACAAAGGUCUCGAUUGCAACUAGGGCAAGAGAAAGGGAAAGUCUCGAUCGCAACGAGGGCGAGAGAAAGGAAAAGGCUCGAUCGCAACGAGGGCGAGAGAAAGGAAAAGGCUCGAUCGCAACGAGGGCGAGAGAAAGGAUCGCAACGAGGGCGAAAGCAAACAAGGAUUAGUCUAAACUAAACCUAACUUGCACAGGAAGCAAGUCAAACAAACAUACAAGCACAGGUAGCACACACUAUACACAAGCAAGGGGCU